rnacentral:pre_miRNA from 1 species
ACUCCCUCCGUCCGGAAAUACUUGACAUAAGAAUGGAUGUAUCUAGAUGUAUUUUAGUUCUAGAUGCAUCCUUUUUUAUUCAUUUGUGCGACAAGUAAUUCCGGAUGGAGGGAGUAGAUA